rnacentral:rRNA from 1 species
GACGAACGCUGGCGGCGUGCUUAACACAUGCAAGUCGAACGGAAAGGCCCCUUUGGGGGUACUCGAGUGGCGAACGGGUGAGUAACACGUGAGUAACCUGCCCUUGACUUCGGGAUAACUUCAGGAAACUGGGGCUAAUACCGGAUAGGAAUCCUUGCUGCAUGGUGGGGGUUGGAAAGCUUCGGCGGUUUUGGAUGGACUCGCGGCUUAUCAGCUUGUUGGUGGGGUAGUGGCUUACCAAGGCUUUGACGGGUAGCCGGCCUGGGAGGGCGACCGGCCACAUUGGGACUGGGAUACGGCCCAGACUCCUACGGGAGGCAGCAGUGGGGAAUAUUGCACAAUGGGCGGAAGCCUGAUGCAGCAACGCCGCGGGCGGGAUGACGGCCUUCGGGUUGUAAACCGCUUUCAGCAGGGGCGAAGCUUGUGGUGACGGUACCUGCAGAAGAAGCACCGGCUAACUACGUG